AACGCUGGCGGCAUGCCUAAUACAUGCAAGUCGAACGAGAUCUUCGGAUCUAGUGGCGCACGGGUGCGUAACGCGUGGGAAUCUGCCCUUGGGUUCGGAAUAACAGCGGGAAACUGCUGCUAAUACCGGAUGAUGACGAAAGUCCAAAGAUUUAUCGCCCAAGGAUGAGCCCGCGUAGGAUUAGGUAGUUGGUGGGGUAAAGGCCUACCAAGCCUACGAUCCUUAGCUGGUCUGAGAGGAUGAUCAGCCACACUGGGACUGAGACACGGCCCAGACUCCUACGGGAGGCAGCAGUAGGGAAUAUUGGACAAUGGGGGCAACCCUGAUCCAGCAAUGCCGCGUGAGUGAUGAAGGCCUUAGGGUUGUAAAGCUCUUUUACCCGGGAUGAUAAUGACAGUACCGGGAGAAUAAGCCCCGGCUAACUCCGUGCCAGCAGCCGCGGUAAUACGGAGGGGGCUAGCGUUGUUCGGAAUUACUGGGCGUAAAGCGCACGUAGGCGGCGAUUUAAGUCAGAGGUGAAAGCCCGGGGCUCAACCCCGGAACUGCCUUUGAGACUGGAUUGCUAGAAUCUUGGAGAGGCGGGUGGAAUUCCGAGUGUAGAGGUGAAAUUCGUAGAUAUUCGGAAGAACACCAGUGGCGAAGGCG
rnacentral:rRNA from 1 species